CCAACCCAUCUUGCACACAAGAAAAUCCACUGUAUCCAUGACCUUCUUCUCAGACAAAGCCAUGCACAUGGGAUGCUUUCUGAAAAUCAACCAGAUCUCAUCUUCAGAAAAACCACAUCUCCUAUAAACCUCUAUUUUGUGUUCCCAUGUUUUGUGCGACAUGUGGUGAAAAACACGGACUGCCUCAACAAAUGUUAAUUUUGAAGAGUCAAAUCCUAGUUUCAAAACCUUCUUAACCCCUUCAGCAAACUUGC
rnacentral:misc_RNA from 1 species